GGGCUCGUAGUUCAACGGCAGAACACGGCAAUCGCAAUGCCGAAAUAGGAGUUCAAUUCUCCUCGAGUCCACCU
rnacentral:tRNA from 1 species